GGCUUUAGCCCCGGGCCGUAAGCGCCUUUAGUCCCGGCUACGGAACCGGGGCUAAGGUUUCGGGACUAAAUGUCCCACCUUUAGUCCCGGUUCCGUGGACCGGGACUAAAGGUCCACCUUUAGUCCCGGUUGGUAACAGAAACCGGGACUAAAAGGUGCGCCAGGGUGUGCCACCUGGCCUCCACUUUUAGUCCCGGUUGUUGUUACCAACCGGGACUAAAGACUUUUUUUCUUUUUUCUUUUCAUUUGGUUUUCCAUUUAGGGUUUACAAUUAUGUUAUUGUUAUUUUCGAAUGCGUAUUGUUCGCUGGUAGUUUAUGGAACGCGCACCUAUAUAAUUUAUAUAAUUUAAAGGAUUACAUAUAAAUAUACUAUAAAACACUAUAUAUAUAUAAAUAAUUAUAUCUAUAGGUCCAUAAUAAAAUAUUUACACAUAUGCUUCACGGACAAAGUAUUUACAACACAAUUUUUCUCCACCACUCAAGCAUCGUACAAAUGAUCAUCAUUAUUUGGUUUCAUCUGCUCCUGAGGGUUGAAAUAGCACUCGCCGCCGGAAUCCAGGACUUGGUCAUUAAGAAAUCCUGCGAUUGUCUCCUGAAUUCCUUUUAGGCGCACCACAUCCAACACCUGCUCCUUCAGCCACAUCUCCUUUAAUAGACAUUAAAGAAAAAAGUUAGAGGUAUGAAUAGGAUUUAUUAAAUAGCAACAAAUAAAUGAAAUAUACUUAUUAUAUAUACAUGUUACAUACUUUUAGGUGCUCAAGAUUAGUUCUUUUGGCAUACACCGUGAUAAACUCGCACACAUAGUAGCCACACAAAUUGUUGCCCGGUGUCUGCCGUAGAACCCACUGAAGUA
rnacentral:lncRNA from 1 species